CUUGGCAGAGCACAACAAAUAAAUAUUUGAUUUUCAGGGAGCAAGAAGUGUCCUUUCUCUGCUGAACAGGCUUCUUCAAUGUGUUUCAGCUUAAGCAUUCUCAACAUGGAGAAAUUAGCCAUUUCAGACAUUCCCGAUCAAAGGCUACAGGAGUGUCAACUUUCAAGAAAAAAAAAAAAGGUAGACACGAUACCUGAGUUCUGUCAGCCAGCAAAUCAUCACCAGUGUUCAUUUACAACUACAGGUGGCUGUGCACUGCUGUUUCCACAUUCCUACAGGCUGAGGAAGGAUGCCUUUUCUUCUUUCUGUCUGAAGUUUUGGGAGAAGAACUGUUAACCACUGGAAGGCCAUAUCUAUCGAAAACUGUGGUGAACCUUAAGGCAAAGACUUGUUUUCCUCAGGGCAGGCUCCUCUCACCCAUCUACAAACCAAUAAUUUUGUUUAGUGGUUUGCCUGCUUUCACCCUCAGUACUGGAAGAUUAUGAAGUGUCAGUACAAAAUGCUUUGCAUCCGCAGUCUAAAACAUUACCCUGGCAGGUGAUUUUGCAAUUCUCCAAGAUCCCAAAUAGACUGAGGGUUUUGAUAUUUCUUGAGAACAUAAAGCACUGUAAGGAGAAACACUUUAAGGAUCUAGGCUUGAUGUUUUGCUAGCAUUAAUCUGAGCAAAGCAGAAAUGAAAUUGAAGAAGCAGAUGAGAAAUGGUAAGUUGAAAACGCUCUGGAUAUUGACCAGCUAUCAUCCUGGAAGAUGAGUUAAAGAGCAAAGGAACUUUUUGACUUGUGUAUCCUCUGUCUUAGAAGCACAGCAACAGCAGUGAUAGAAUAAAGUUAUUUAAUCCAGCAAUUUGACACAGAAUCAAAAUGGGCUUCCAUAGCCACACCUGGGUGUUAGAAGUACUCCACCCAGUUUCCUUAGUUAAAUAUUCAUGUCAUAGGACUGAAUCUUUGUGUGAAGGGUAGUGACUGUAUUCAGGUUGCAAGUAGGUGUGAGAACUCUUAUCUAGAUGGAGAAUCCUGAGAAACCUUUAGACAGAUAUCUGGUUAUAUGUCUCAAAAACUGACUAAUCAACACCUUGAUGUAAGAGGAGAGACAGCGUUAGAGCACUGAUAUCUGACUGCUAGAAAAAAAUGGAAUUUUAAAAAGUCCAGAUGUUUUGUAAUCAUUGUCCUAGUGAAGAGGAAAUGUAUAAGUACGGAAGGAUUAAGAACGUUCUACUCAUUCACUCAUUUUACUAUCAGUAAAAGCCAAUCUCAAUUUAAAAUUGGUCUUCACAGGAGCAAAUAUCUUUCAGCCUAACUAUACUGAAACCUGUCAGAUUAAAGUCUAUUUGUAUGUAACUAUGUAAUUUAAGGUCAUUUGAGUUUUCCAUGUUGCAGGUAUGACUCCUCAACUUGUAUUAAACUCCAUUUUAUUCCUACUGAAACUGUACGACUGCAAAAUGCAGGUUUAUCUGUUAUUUGAUGCUGAAAUUAUUUUUUAUUGAGAGCUGAAUGCAGCAAGCAGUCAAGUAGUUGUUUCUUCAUCUAUAGUAAGAACACUGGUCACAUUGCUGUACUAAUUUAAGCAGUCUUAAAAAUAUUAAAAGUGAUCAUAAAAUUAUGGCCAUGCUGUCUGCUUGAAGGGGUACAGGCUAUAUGACAAAUCAUCUUCAAGGUAGAUCUGCACAUUUUAAAUACAAACAGGAAACUAAUCAAGCUGUUUUCCUUCAUUUACAAACAAAUUCAUGAACACAAAUUCCUCUUAUAUAGCUAUUCUGAGAAUAACUGGAUUGUGCAAACGUAGCCAAGGACAGAAUGUAUCAUGUAAAGACAUGAAAAGGAAUUGAGUUUUAUAAAUCCAGUGAUAGAAUACUUUGCAGAAUUGACAUCUAGAAUUUUUUUUUUCAGUGUUUAGUAGUGUUACCAAAAUUCUAUUUGCAAAAAUACUAGAAGGUAUUUUAUAUUAAAAAAAAAAUGAAUGUUUUGCACAUUAAAUGGGCUAGAAAAAUGAAGAAAAUUAAAUAUAUUUUAAUUUUUUAAUCAUUUAUUAAUUUCUCAUAGAUCUAUUUGCCCUGGUGAACAUACACAAUUUACAUAUUUGCUAAAUACAUUUAGAAAAAACUCUUAAAGAUUUUUAUAUAGCUGUCCAAAACCAGAAAACUAUAAUAAAACAGAGUGAUAAAUGCCAGACAGAUUUGCAAAGAGAAAAGUGGAAAUCUUUGAACAGAACUAGGAAUACAUCUCAAUCAGCACAAGGGCUUUUGAUGAGAGAAUAGCAUUGAUAUGGAAUGAUGUAGAUUUUUUUCAAAAACAGUGCAAUGAAAGAAAAUAUUUUAACUUUGUAAUUUGGGCAACACAACAUUUAUUCACUGGAUAACACUACUAAACAAAUGAACUUCAACAUUUUUUUUAUUUCCUUCUGCUUUACUAGCACUAUUUAUGAAAGUCAAGUGAAAAGGAGAAACAAGUUGCAUUGUAUAUCAAGAAGAGCUGCUCUGAAGCACUAGAAUGGAAAACAAAACUAAGUGUGAAUGAGUUCCAGAGACUGAUAAGCAAGGUUUCUCAAGAAGACUAUUUAAUUAAUAAAAGAAUGCAGGUGAGCUUGUCUGUUUUAGUCAUUGCUAGAGUCAGCUCUUAAUUAUCUGAUGCAAAGGGAAAAACCUAAAUUAGACAAAAAAAAAAAAAAAAAAGAAAAAAGAAUAAUACAAACUAGGCUUUAUAAAUUAGUCUACAAGACUCUAUUCAGUACAUUCACCUUUAAUGGGCUUAUGAACAGAUUUCUGUAGAGGAGAGCAACAGAGAGGAGUCUGGUGCAAACAGUUUAUGUUCUGUGUCAUGCAGUUUUGUACUGCUCUCCCAAGAAGUGCUGGGGGAAGACUGUGCUUCAUUGAAGCCCAAUCCCCAUAAUCCAUCUGUCAUCAUCAGAUGACUACAUUAUUAUAUACUAUACCAGAUUAUCCUAAAACAAAAGAAACUGCUGAAUUCUCUCCUCUCCUUUGACUUUUUUCCUCUCCCUCUCUGCCCAAUUCCUAUGAAAAAUAAAUUUCCUUCCUUUUUUUUUCCUUAAAUUUAUCUAUCAGAUGAUCAGACCUUUGUAAGAAUUCUUUGCAAGGAAUUAAUAUACAAAGCCACCAGAACACCUGUUUGCACUGUUGGAAGCCUAAACUGGCUUCCAUGGUCCAUACUUCAUUAUUUUGCAGUUUCAUAACUGCAAAGAACUGAACUCUAUUUGUAGGUGUGUUUUUACACUACCAAUGGAACCAAGAUGCUGAACGAGACCACAAGUGAUGUUUGGGGUUUAUAUUGUCUAUUCAAUUAAGACCAAUGAGUCUUUUCCAAAGGCUUCAAAUAGAAAUUAGUAGAUAAGAUUUCCGGGUUUGACCAGACUAGACGAGACAUUUAUUUGUUUUAAAGACAGAACACUUUAGGUCCUCAUCAAAUAUAUUCAGAUGAAUAUUAGUUCCACAAAACAAAUCAGCAACAAAAAAAUCAGCUUUUGUAAUUACAGCACUUUUGUUAACAUGAAAAAAAAAAGUAUUUCUCUCUCCACAGAAAGAUUAAAAUAAAGACAAGAAUGAUAUUGCACAACAUUGUCUGCAAUCUGAAAUGAAGUUCUCACAUUAAAGCAGAAACAAUUAGCAUUUUCUCUAGCUUGCUUCCAUGAAACAAUACUGCUGCCAAACAAAUGAGUAACACUACAUGAACUAAAUGAACUUUAGCAAAUUAAUGCGUAGCCCUUUUUCCUUCUCUGAAAUAAAACUUUCACAGAAAACAAUGGAGGUUAAGUAAGAAACCAUGGAACUGUAACUGCCGUUCAUUUAUUAUUUUGGCUUAUGUAUAUUUUAUAAUCAAAAUGAAAAAGCCAUAUGGUUUGUGAGAACAUGUGGAAGAUCUCCUCGAGCCAUUUCCUUUGUUGGCUGUUCAUGCCAGCUUACAGCAAUUAAGUACCUUCCUACCUUCCUUAUUUCCGUAUAUGACAUUUGUUUGAAAAAUUUCCAGUACUUCAAAUACACUUCUUUUAAAGGAAGAUUAUGUACAACUAUAUCUUGUAUUAAAUUCUGUUUUCAGAUUAGUCAUCCUCAUUGUGAUAUAUCUAUAUAUAUACUUAUCUAUACGUACAUAGACGUUCUUUGUAAACAUAGAUGCUCAGUUUUCUCUUACCUUUCUAAGUGCUGCUGGUAACGAGGCGGUAGACAUUGAUAUUGAUGGAAGAACGUAAGAGUGUGGACAGAUUACUGAUGGUAGUUGGCUCUCUUGAACAGUAUAGCGUGUGCCUGAUAUAUCGUAGUACCUAAAAGGAGAAUAAAUAUUGUCUAAUUAA